ACUCCUACGGGAGGCAGCAGUAGGGAAUCUUCCACAAUAGGCGCAAGCCUGAUGGAGCAACACCGCGUGAGUGAAGAAGGGUUUCGGCUCGUAAAGCUCUGUUGUUAAAGAAGAACACGUAUGAGAGUAACUGUUCAUACGUUGACGGUAUUUAACCAGAAAGUCACGGCUAACUACGUGCCAGCAGCCGCGGUAAUACGUAGGUGGCAAGCGUUAUCCGGAUUUAUUGGGCGUAAAGAGAGUGCAGGCGGUUUUCUAAGUCUGAUGUGAAAGCCUUCGGCUUAACCGGAGAAGUGCAUCGGAAACUGGAUAACUUGAGUGCAGAAGAGGGUAGUGGAACUCCAUGUGUAGCGGUGGAAUGCGUAGAUAUAUGGAAGAACACCAGUGGCGAAGGCGGCUACCUGGUCUGCAACUGACGCUGAGACUCGAAAGCAUGGGGUAGCGAACAGGAUUAGAUACCCU
rnacentral:rRNA from 1 species